rnacentral:rRNA from 1 species
CCUACGGGUGGCAGCAGUGAGGAAUAUUGGUCAAUGGGCGCGAGCCUGAACCAGCCAAGCCGCGUGAAGGAUGACUGCCCUACGGGUUGUAAACUUCUUUUAUAAAGGAAUAAAGUCAGGCACGUGUGCCUUUUUGUGUGUACUUUAUGAAUAAGCAUCGGCUAACUCCGUGCCAGCAGCCGCGGUAAUACGGAGGAUCCGAGCGUUAUCCGGAUUUAUUGGGUUUAAAGGGAGCGUAGAUGGGUUGUUAAGUCAGUUGUGAAAGUUUGCGGCUCAACCGUAGAAUUGCCAUUGAUACUGGCAGUCUUGAGUACAGUUGAGGUAGGCGGAAUUCGUGGUGUAGCGGUGAAAUGCUUAGAUAUCACGAAGAACUCCGAUUGCGAAGGCAGCUUACUAAAC